CACCUCUAGCAUUACUAGUAUUAGAGGCACUGCCUGCCCAGUGACAUUAGUUAAACGGCCGCGGUAUCCUGACCGUGCAAAGGUAGCAUAAUCAUUUGUUCUUUAAAUAGGGACUUGUAUGAACGGCCACACGAGGGUUCUACUGUCUCUUGCUUCCAAUCAGUGAAAUUGACCUCCCCGUGCAGAGGCGGGGAUACACAAAUAAGACGAGAAGACCCUAUGGAGCUUUAAUUAACUAACUCAAAGAAAACAUAAAUAACCGCCAAGGGAUAAUAAUCUUCUACCUGAGUUAGCAAUUUCGGUUGGGGUGACCUCGGAGAACAGAAAAACCUCCGAGUGACUAAAAUCUAGACUUACCAGUCAAAAUGUAGUGUCACUUAUUGAUCCAAAAUAUUUGAUCAACGGAACAAGUUACCCUAGGGAUAACAGCGCAAUCCUAUUCAAGAGUUCAUAUCGACAAUAGGGUUUACGACCUCGAUGUUGGAUCAGGACACCCCAAUGGUGCAGCCGCUAUUAAAGGUUCGUUUGUUCAACGAUUAAAGUCCU
rnacentral:rRNA from 1 species